CCCUGGUCUUUGUUGUGCUGUGUUUGUAUUCCUCUCUCCUUUUCUUUGAGAGGGAGAAUCGAUUUUCCCUCCCAAAGCUGCUCCUUCCUGCUUUGGUCUCUGCCCGUUGUGCAAGUUUGCUUUGUGAUUGGCACCGUGAGGGCCCAGUGCACAAGAGCUGUUGACUUGGUUUCCUUUAUUGGCCUUGAGGGACCUGAAGUGGUGGCACCCAAAGCUCUCCUAGGCCCUUGACCCUGGAGACCAAGUUGGUCGAGUGAGUGUCAGGUGGUGGGUGAGAAGGCAGCUCUCUGGCUCUGCAUGUUUGGGAUUUCUGGCCUCCCUGUCCUAUUGUGUCCUCACGGUGUGUCCUGAGGGAAGGGAUGUUCGCAGAGUUGGAUGAGUUAAAGGAGGCAUACUUGGAGUUCCAGUGGUUAAGGAAUCCAACUAGGAACCAUGAGAUUGCGGGUUCGAUCCCUUGCCUCACUCGGUGUCUUAAAUAUCCAGCAUUUUUGUGAGCUAUGGUGUUUGUCGCAGAUACAGCUUGCAUCCUGUAUUUCGUGGCUGUGGUUUCGACUGGCAGCUGCAGCUCCCAUUUUGUCCCUAGCCUGGGAACCUCCAUAUCCUGUCAGAGUUGCCCUAGAAUAAAGAAAAAGACAAAAAUAGUAUAAAAUAAAAUAAAGGAGAAGUCAUCUGGGGUUGCUGCAUAGGAUCCAGUACCCUUGAGUCCUGUCCACCUGCACAGCUGACCCCAGGCUGCUGUCAUGACUCUCCUCCCCUCUGGGAGAGGUCCAUGUCCAGCUGCCCAAAGAGACCACCCCUGGCCAGCAGGAAUUUGGGGGACUGUGUGAAGGAGCUGCUGGCCUUGCUUCAGACCCUUUCUCUCCUGGCCCUGUGACCUCAUCUCCUGGGAUUGACCAUGUCCCAGACAGAGCCUCUGGCAGCAGGACCAGGUGGUCACAGCUCCUGUUGGAUCCCCCUCUUCCCAUCAGACUGCUAUCCCCUGAUCCCCAAAUCCCAGUCAUGUUGACCCUGUGUCCCUUCCUAGCCUGGCCCUGGUCUCCUCCCUCCCAGGUCCCCGAGGCUCAGGCCAAAUGGAGGCAGGUGGUGAGCAUUCACAUCGGGUCUGUACUGAACCAAUCUCAGCCUGAGAGAAGUGACACAGGGUCCUUUCCCUCUGAGUUUGUGUCAGCCUCUCUAAGGCCUCCCUCAUGUCGGGGCUCCAGAAAACAAUCAAGAUGAAGGCAUCUAUCCCUCAGUGCUCAUGUACGAAGAGUGGCUCACCUGGCCCAGCCCUGCAUCCUUGUGGAUGCUUAGUGCUCCUGGCAUCACACAGAAGACAUGGCAGGAUCCCAACCUGAGUGGGAAUUUCCAGGGUCUGGGUCUUCCCUCAGUCUCUGUAAGGCCCAGGGAUGGCCUGGGCCAUCCCAUGCCACCCAUUCUCAAACUGAGGUUGGAACUUCUGUAAAUUCUUUGACAUAGAUGACAAGUUCAAAUGCAGCAACCCCUGAGGCAAUUCAGUUCUGUCUUCUCUUGGGAAAAGUGAAAGGCUAGGAUUCAAAUUUGUUGUAUUCCUUUCAGUGACUUUUCACUGUGUCAUCUAAUAACAUGAAUGUAACUUGUUUUAGUACACUUUCAAAAGCAUUGUCUUCUCAGAGUUCCUGCUGUGGCUCAGUGGGUUAAAAACACGACAUGGUGUCCAUGAAGAUGCAGGUUCAAUCCCUGGCCUCGCUCAGUCAGUUGAAGAAUCUGGCAUUGCUGCAAGCUGUGGCAUACAUUGCAAAGGCGAUUCAAAUCCCACCUUGUGGCAUCUGUUUUAGGCCUGCAGAGGCAGCUUGUCCCUGACCCCUAGCCCAUGAACGUCCAUAUGCUGCAGGUGUGGCUGAAAAAAGAAAAAGAGAAUACCUUUCUUCUAUAUACUUUUCAUGCAGCAAUAGAAUAAAAAGAUAAAUUUAUAUUUCUACUACCACAUCUUCAUGAUUUUUUGAAACUCUUAAUACUGAAAAAUAUUUAUUGAAUUUCUUUUGCUAUAGAUUAUUUACUGUAUUGUGUUAGUUUCAGGUGUACAGCUUCAAAUUCUUUUUCUUUACAGGUUAUGAGAAGAUAUUGCAUAGAGUUCCAUGUGCUACACAGUGAAUCCUUGUUGCUUCUCUAUUAAUCUCACACUCCCAAUUGAUCCCUUCCCUUCCUUUCCCUUUCCCCUUUGCUAAUGGAAGUUUGCUUCCCAUGUCUGUGCGUUGUUUCAGUUUUGUAAAAAAGCUGGAUUGUAGUCAUGUUUCAGAUUCAGCAUAGAAGUGUUAGAACUUUCAUCUUUGUCUAACUUACUUCACGUAGUAUGAUAAUCUCUAGGUCUGUCCAUGUUGCUGCAAAUUGCAUGGCUUCAUUCUUUCUUAUGGCUGAGUGUGACUCCUAUAUAUACAUGAAGUAUUUUUUGAAGAAGUGAGGUAUUUUUGUACCUAUUUCUGCUGUACAGCAAAGGGACCCAGUCACACCUAUUUAUACAUUAUUUUUCUCUUCUUAUGUUCCAUUGUGUUCUCUCCAAAGAGACUGAAUACAGUUCCCUGUGCUACAGCGUAGGGCCUCAUUGCUUAUCCAUCCUAAAUGUAAGCGUUUGCAUCGACCAACCCCAAAUUCCCAGUCCAUCCCACUUCCUCUCCCCUCCCCCUUGGCUCCCCACACGUCUGUCCUCUAGAUCUGUGAGUCUGUUUCUGUUCUGGAGAUAUGUUCCUUUGUGCCCUAUCUUGGCUUCUGCAUGGAAGUGAUGUCAUGUGGUAUUUGUCAUUGUCUUUCUGACUUGUGCCACAUACCAUGAUAACUUUAGUGGCAUCGCUGUUGCUGCCAGUGGCAUUGUUUCUUUCUUGUACACAGCUGAGUGGUACGACAUUGUAUAUGUGUACCCCAUCGUCUUCAUCCAUCCAUCUGUUGGUGGACAUUUAGAUUGCUUCCAUGCCUUGGCUCUUGUGAAUUGUGCCAUGAACAUACAGGGGCAUGUGUUUUUUGAGGGGGGUUUGGGUUUUUUUUUGUUUUUCAUUUUUUUGUGUUUUUACCAUUUCUUGGGCCGCUCCCGUGGAAUAUGGAGGUUCCCAGGCUAGGGGUCAAAUCGGAGCUGGAGCUGCUGGCCUACACCACAGCCACAGCAAUGCAGGAUCCGAGCUGUGUCUGCAAACUACACCACAGCUCAUGGAACGCCGGAUCCUUAACCCACUGAGCAAGGCCAGGGAUUGAACCCGCAACCUCAUGUUUCCUAGUUGGAUUCGUUAACCACUGAGCCACGAUGGGAACUCCACAGGAGCAUGUGUCUUUUUGAGUGAAAGUUUUGUCUGGGUAGAUGCCCAGGUGUGGGAUCGCUGGAUCAUAUAGGGUAGUACUGUAGUGAGUUUUCUGAGGAACCCCCAUACUCUUUUCCAGAGUGGUCACACUGAUUUCCACUGCCACCAACAGUGUAGGAGGGUUCCCCUUUCUCCACACCCCCUCCAGCAUUUGUUAUCUAUCAACUUAAUGACGGCCAUUCUAACAGGUGUGGGGUGGUCCCUCGCUGCAGUUUUGAUGUGUAGUCCCCUCGUACCAAGCAAGGUUGAGCAUCUCUUCAUGUGCCUAUUGGCCAUCCCUAAGCCUCAUCUGGAGAAAUGUCUCUUUAGGUCUUCCGGCUCUUUUUGCAUUGAGUUGUUUGGUUUUUGUGGUGGUGGAUGAGUUGUAUGUGUUGUUUCUCUAUUUUGAAGGUAAAGCCAUUGGUGGGUGAAUCAUGUACAAAUAUUCUCUCCUAGAAUAGAUUUACAAGGAGAUCCUGCUGAAUAGCAUUGAGAACUAUGUCUAGAUACUCAUGUUGCAACAGAAGAAAGGGUGGGGGAAAAACUGUAAUUGCAAUGUAUAUAUGUAAGGAUAACCUGACCCCCUUGCUGUACAGUGGGAAAAUAAAAAAAAAAAAA
rnacentral:lncRNA from 9 species